AGGUUUGUGCAGUGGCAGUAUCGUAGCCAAUGAGGUUUAUCCGAGGCACAGUUAUUGCUAAUUGAAAACUUUUCUCAAAUGU
rnacentral:snRNA from 1 species